rnacentral:rRNA from 1 species
GAGUUUGAUCUUGGCUCAGAUUGAACGCUGGCGGCAUGCCUUACACAUGCAAGUCGAACGGCAGCAUGAUCUAGCUUGCUAGAUUGAUGGCGAGUGGCGAACGGGUGAGUAAUACAUCGGAACGUGCCCUGUAGUGGGGGAUAACUAGUCGAAAGAUUAGCUAAUACCGCAUACGACCUGAGGGUGAAAGUGGGGGACCGCAAGGCCUCAUGCUAUAGGAGCGGCCGAUGUCUGAUUAGCUAGUUGGUGGGGUAAAGGCCCGACCAGGGCGACGAUCAGUAGCUGGUCUGAGAGGACGAUCAGCCACACUGGGACUGAGACACGGCCCAGACUCCUACGGGAGGCAGCAGUGGGGAAUUUUGGACAAGUGGGGGCAACCCUGAUCCAGCAAUGCCGCGUGUGUG